GACAAUUGACUGAGAAAAAAGUACAUACUUGUGUGGUUUUGGAUUGAUCUUGAUGAUUAUUAUCAUGUCCAAAUUCCCCACUGCAGUGACUGUGUAGGUAGACAAGAAAGCUCAGGAAGAGUGGAAUCAGGAGCUCUGGAUAUUCUGAAAAACCCAGGAGAAACAUGUAAAGAGAAUGGGGAAGUAUAGACUAAUGAAGCGGAAAAGGCAUAGCUACAGUUAAGAAUGAUUUAAGGUGCACAUCUAAAGAGACCAGGCUGAAGGAACACUCUAUUUGUGGUAUGCUCUUCUCCAAGUUGAAUGCACAAGCUCAAGGAAGAAAGAUUCAAACCAUGCAGACAGCUGAUGAUUCUUGCUAAAAAUAACUUAAUGAAGAUACCAAAAAUUUCAUUUUUGCAACUGUCAAGAAAUUGUGGAGGAAGCAUAGAGAUGUCCUUGGGAUGUAUACAGAGCAGGAAACUAUAUUCCAUGAUCAUAUUGUUUGUUUUAUGCCUAACUACUUGACCAUGGGGACACAGGCCUUGGAGAAUUCUGACAAAGUUUGUUGUCAUGAGCUACAAACACAAUAAUUGGAGGAAAUUUCCUCUUCUGCAACUUAGAAUAUAAUUUCAUCGAAAUGAUUAACAUGUAGAUCUUUAUGUCUUAAAAAAAUUACCUCUGCAAAGAGACCAUAAUUCUUAAAAUCAUGAAAAAAUAUAGUCACAUCCAUCCAACGUCUUUGACAUAAUUAUUGUUGAUAUCAUAUGCUUUUUUCGUCUAUUUUGCUUAAGUGUUGGCACAAGUAUUUAUAUAGAAACACAUUUAACGUUAUACUGUAGAUAUUUUGACAUUCAAUAAUUUAUUGUUUGUUAUAUCCUGAAUAAGCAAUUCCUUCGGCUGGCAGUUGAGAGAGGAUAUGCU
rnacentral:lncRNA from 1 species